UACCAAUGUAUAUAAUCAUAAAUAUAAUUAUGUAUAUUACUAAAAAUAAGCAGAUGCUUGUAUAUACGCGAAGUAUUUUUUAAAACUAUUGCAAACUAGUAUUUGUCUGAUAUUUAAGCCAAUGCUACUCUUAGGGUCGCUAAACAGAUGUAGUUCAUAAUUGUUUUCCUUGGUAUUUUCUCGGAAACGUUCGUAUUUGUCGUGAUACUUCAGUUAACUAAGCACUUUUUGUACCGAGACUGACUGAAAUAGCAAGACACGUUCGUACGUUUCCGUGAAAAUACGAUGGAUAAUAAUUAUGCACUACAUCCUGUACACGUGUUUAUUUUAUUUAUUUAUUACCUGUACACGUUUUGUAAGUAAAAAUUUCGUUUUAUGAUACUCAUAUUUAUUUCCAGUAUUUACAGUUAUUUAUUUAAGAAGGAUAAUUAAUCGUUAUUAUCGCUAACUCGUAUCACUUAUUAACAUUGCAAGUUGUAUCUUAUUGUCAUGCAAUAAAGUCUGUACAGUCAGCAGCAGAAGUUGCUAAGCGGGCAAGGUGUUCAAAAUAAUCUUGACGCGACUUUAUUGUUAAGAGAAUAAUAGCGUGUCAAGGUAAUUUUGAACACCUUGCCCGCUUAGCAACUUCUGCUGCUGUCUGUACAUUGGUAACAUUCUCAAUAUCUUAUUCUUAUGUAUUGAGGUUUAAAAUACAUAGCUAAUAUUCCAUCUAUUUCAUUGCAGUUGUAAGAUUUUCUUUGAAUUUAAAACUUAGGAAAACUAUGGUGCGAGUUAGUGAUACAUAUUUUUUUAUUGAUAAUAAUCAUUUACCGGAACAGUGUACCUGAAGCUGUUUUCCAUUUAGGAUAAAGAUAUAAACUUUAAUUAACUAUUUGUAUAUUUUAAGCAAUAUUAUUUCGUUCUGAAAGGUCCAAAGGAAGCACUGGAGUGAGUAGUUUUUAAGUUUACCAAUAACUUAAAUUCUAAAUUAAAUAAUAGGUAUAUUUGAAAAUCAUCCUAAAUAUUUAUGCUCAGUGCAUAUCAAAUAUCAAAUGUGCAUAGAUGUCCAGUACGUAUGAUAGUUUUUGUGGACGUCUUAAGGCUAGAGCGUACCGGCUGCGUGUGAAAUGUUGGAACAGUGCACGCACACGUCACGCAAGCGGUGUGCCGUCUCUCAUAAGGAUCUGUAUACCUACUACAACGCGCACGUGCACAUCUACGCACACGCACACGCACGCGGCGUGCACAGGCCAUUAUUUUGGACUUUCUGAACGUAUUUUGAAGUCAUUGUAUUUCUCUUCUGACAGCUGAUAUACCCAAAUAAUCAACAUUCUACUUAAAUAUUGUUAUAUUUGUAAGCGGCAAGUGAUCUCGCGUUGGAUUAAGUCUACUUAAUAGUAUAUCCCACUUCUGAUGCUGAUGAUAUCAGUGUAUAAUAUGCUUAUCACAACCAAUGGUUGUGGCUACAAUAUUUAUACAAUUAUUUAUACAUUUCUUCUAAAAAAUGUUUUAUGGGUCGAUUGGGCAUUACGUUAUGUUGAUGAAAUGGGUCUAGGUGGGCGUAUUUUGUUCCAUACAUAUUAUAUUUUCAAUAUUAUUUUUUUUGUAAUAUUUGUUUUGGGUAUUUAAGAUUUAAAACAGCUUGGCAAUGAUGGCAUGCGUCUUUUUAUCUCUAAGACCUAUUUUGUAUUACGUAUACUAAAAUAAAGUGAUAGUUUAUCUACCGUAAAAUGGUUCUACUUUGCUCCACUGUGGGUAACUAUGCUCCAAUUCUAUAAAAUGGUUUAACGUUUAAUAUAUUCAAAUAUGUUUUAUAUUUCUAUGUUAUUUUUAUAUGUAUAAACUUACUCAGGUUAACGUAUUUAUAAAACUUUGCGCCCCCAAGUAAACUAUAGGUAGGUAAACAAUAUUCAUAAUUUUCUUAAUUUGGAGCAAUUAAGUAGGGCCAUUUCACGGUAUCCAAUCAUUUUACCAAUUUUUCGGGCUGUAUAUCUGGAUAUAAAAACAAGGAAUAAGUUUUCCUUAAGAGGGAAGAAUAGCUACUGAUAAAAAGUAUUUUUUUCAUACAAUUUCCAUUUCGGGAGUAAACGGUUUCCACUAACUAAAUCUUCACAAAUAACAUUGAUUUUGAAGUCGAUCGGUUCAGCAUAAUAUAUUCAAAGUUUAUAGGUUUCGAUUGUAAAAAAAAUGCAAAUUUUGUAAAAAGGAAAACCUAUAAACCUAGUCUUUCAUUGUCAAUACCGUACUAAAAAGUCAUGGAGAAUGGAAAAUAUUUAGAAGGUAUAAAAACAUUUUCUCUUUUUGUUUGGACGAGUGCGUAGUAUUCUUCCCUCUUUUCCAGGAAAUAAAUGGCAUCUUCUUGUUAUUGAGAUGGGUCUUAUUUUAACAACUACAAUACCAAGUCUUAAUUAAUUUUGUUUUGACUUGCACUUAAACUUGGUUAAAUGAAAUUUUGUAAUCACUUAUAUGCUUACUUUGUGAUAAAAAUAAUUUAUUUUUGUGAAAUUAUUUAUAACUUUAUUGUGUAUUUUUAAUGUUAUUUUCUUGGUGUAUUAUAAUUAUUAUUGGUGAAUUUUAAUAAAUUAUUGAAAGAA